rnacentral:rRNA from 1 species
AGCCGCGGUAAUACGUAGGGUGCGAGCGUUAAUCGGAAUUACUGGGCGUAAAGCGUGCGCAGGCGGUUAUGUAAGACAGAUGUGAAAUCCCCGGGCUCAACCUGGGAACUGCAUUUGUGACUGCAUGGCUAGAGUACGGUAGAGGGGGAUGGAAUUCCGCGUGUAGCAGUGAAAUGCGUAGAUAUGCGGAGGAACACCGAUGGCGAAGGCAAUCCCCUGGACCUGUACUGACGCUCAUGCACGAAAGCGUGGGGAGCAAACAGGAUUAGAUACCCUGGUAGUCCACGCCCUAAACGAUGUCAACUGGUUGUUGGGAAUUAGUUUUCUCAGUAACGAAGCUAACGCGUGAAGUUGACCGCCUGGGGAGUACGGCCGCAAGGUUGAAACUCAAAGGAA